rnacentral:lncRNA from 1 species
AUAGGAGGAGGGGAGAGGAGAGGAAAGUGGGAGGAGAGGCUGCACUCUAAACAGCCCUCUUGCCUGAGCAAUCUGACACAGAGGCACAUGAGGAAUCAGCACGGAACCAUCGACCCACAGGGUUAAUCCCAAUGUCAAUACCUGCUAGAUGUCAGGGAUCCCCUGGGCUGCUGGCGAGCCAUUUGAAAUGACCCAUCUCCUGCUACCUUGGCCUGCUCCUCUGGGCCACCUCUCUCCACCUGCACUUGUUUACCCCUGGAGGGCUCGGGUCUGCCAUCACCUGCCUCUCAAGAAACCUGUGCCUCCAGCAGCCACCGGGAUCCACCGGGAUCCACCAGGACUGUGACCCUCCUGCCAAGAAGAUCCAGGAAAGCCUGCUGGCCACUGUGGAUGAGAGGCAAGCUCCCACCUGCAGGGUGUUCACUUGUGGCUCCUUCCAAUAAGUCAAGCAAGAUGGAAACAUUCGAGUGAUGCAAGGCGCGCUACUUGGGGAAAGAGACUCUGAUAUGCCACAUCAGUGAGGACCACCAGGAAAGACGAUUCCUUUCCAAAUUCCAAGCCUCAACAAAAGCGACCACAGCAGUCCAGACUCCUGUCUCUAAUCCCUACCUCCCUAUGUGGACAAAGAGUGGGGCUCUCUUGGCCUGAGCUCAUGGGGUUUCACGUCAGCCCAGCAGGACAGAAUGCAUCCCUCCUGACAGCCAGGCACAGGCUGGGGACCAGAGGGACCCAGCUGGCUCCACAGGGCAGGGCUGACACAGGGCCAGGGGAGGGUUGUGGCGGCCCACACUGCAUGUCUCUACAAGGUGAAGGAACUCCUCGUGUUGGCUGCUGAGCUGAGAGGUCACAGCUCUGCCUCACAGCACCCUGGCCAAGUUUUCCAUGAAAUCAUCCAAAGCCAACAGGAGUUCCGGGAACCGUCCGUCUGUAGCUGCAGCUUCCUCCCUGGCUGUGGGAAUCUUCAGAUCCCUUGGGCCUGGGCUAAGUCCACUCUCCACACAUGUAGGGGAAACAUGCCAGAGGGCCAGCCCUUGUUCCCAGACACGGCCCUGGCCCCUAGCAAGCCUGCUCGGACAAAGGGGGAUGGUUACAGCAGACCUACCUAGCUGGCUAAUGUCUCCCUAGUAGCCAAUUGCAGCAUUCACUGAGGGACUAGGCAGUCAUGCAGAGGCCAAGCUCUAAAGGGCACCCACCCCAGCCUGUCCCCCAACAACCCAGACACACAGACCCACAGCUACAUCCCUGUGCAAAUGCCAUAAUCCCAGCUUGGCUGCACGAACAUGCGCACCUCUCCCAUCCAUGGCAGCGGGCCCAAAGGGCAGGCAACAGGCAGAAAGCAGCUGGACACUAGGGGUAAGCUGAGGAAGACCAGCCCUCGGCCCCUUCCUCUCUGCACAGAGUGGUGGGGAGACAAGGAGGAGCCAGGGGUACUGACCCGGGCCUAAGGAACACCUGACCCAUCAGCACAGAACAGAGAUGAGAAAUGGGCCCCGUUUCCAUCCCCCAAAUCCUUCAGGAUGACCACUGAAGCUGCAAAAAAUCAAUUUUCUGCAGCUUCUUCGGAAGCCAGGAUUGUGUGUGUGUGUGUGUGUGUGUGUGUGUGUGGUGUGUGUGUGUGUGUGUGUGUGUGUGUGUGUGUGUGUGUGUGUGUGUGUGUGUGUGCGCGCAGAGCUAUUGGCUCAGCUGUUUCCCAUCAGCUUCCUGCGUGCUUCCAGGCAGAGCACAGCCCACUGCCUCCCUCUCCUCCUUCCACCCCCCAUGCUCAAACCCACACCCAAGGUAGACCCCUGGGAAAAGCAGAGGGUCUUGACUUGGGAAAAUCAAGCCAUGUGUCAGGAGUUCACCCUGGAUAUCACCACCUCAUGUUUCCAGAGUCCCCAAUCACUUGCAAAGGACUUCACACAUGCCCCAGCUAGGAGACAAGGCUAAAGCCUGCUGAGUCAGAGGACGAGAGAGAGAGAGAGAGAGAGAGAGAGAAAGAAAGGGCAGGACAUAAGAGCCGCUGGACCCCAGAUUCACAGGGCACAAAUGCAAUCUCUAGGUGGUAACAUCAGAGCCACCGCUUCUCAGUGUCAGUCCGUAUUUACCAAGUGCCGACUGCCCGGGACCCUGUGCCAGAGCUGCACCCCAACUCCAUCCAGCCCGAGCUUCAUGAUAAUAACAUUAUUCUUUCCAACUUUGGGCUGAUUGGGGUUUAUAAGGGCUCCCACUUCACUUUUUACCAAAAGAAAAUAUCUUUCCUUUGCA